rnacentral:rRNA from 1 species
UACAGAGGUGGCAAGCGUUGUUCGGAAUUACUGGGCGUAAAGGGCGCGUAGGCGGUUCGUUAAGUCCUGUGUGAAAUCCCCCGGCUCAACUGGGGAACUGCACAGGAAACUAGCGGGCUUGAGCUCGGGAGAGGGAAGCGGAAUUCCGGGUGUAGCGGUGAAAUGCGUAGAUAUCCGGAGGAACACCGGUGGCGAAGGCGGCUUCCUGGACCGACACUGACGCUGAGGCGCGAAAGCUAGGGUAGCGAACGGG